CGAAAGGGUGACGAAGCGACGCCGCGUGUGGGAAGAAGGCCUUCGGGUUGUAAACCACUGUCAGGAGUUAAGAAGUGUAGUGGUGCUAAUAGCACCCUUACUUGACUAAGGCUCCAGAGGAAGCCACGGCUAACUCUGUGCCAGCAGCCGCGGUAAUACAGAGGUGGCAAGCGUUGUUCGGAAUUAUUGGGCGUAAAGAGCACGUAGGCGGUUCUGCAAGUCGGCUGUGAAAGCCUUCCGCUCAACGGAAGAACAGCAGUUGAUACUACAGGGCUUGAGUGCGGGAGGGGAGAGUGGAACUUCUGGUGGAGCGGUGAAAUGCGUAGAUAUCAGAAGGAACGCCGGCGGCGAAAGCGACUCUCUGGCCCGUAACUGACGCUGAGUGUGCGAAAGCUAGGGGAGCAAACGGGAUUAGAUACCCCGGUAGUCCUAGCCGU
rnacentral:rRNA from 1 species